UACGUAGGGUGCGAGCGUUGUCCGGAAUUAUUGGGCGUAAAGAGCUCGUAGGCGGUUUGUCGCGUCGACUGUGAAAACCUACAGCUUAACUGUGGGCUUGCAGUCGAUACGGGCAGACUUGAGUUCGGUAGGGGAGAGUCGGAAUUCCCGGUGUAGCGGUGAAAUGCGCAGAUAUCGGGAAGAACACCCGUGGCGAAGGCGGCUACUCUGGGACGGUACUGACGCUGAGACGCGAAAGCGUGGGGAGCGAACGAGG
rnacentral:rRNA from 1 species